rnacentral:rRNA from 1 species
UACGUAGGUGGCAAGCGUUGUCCGGAUUUACUGGGCGUAAAGAGCGCGCAGGCGGUCGUUCAAGUCGCGUGUGAAAGCCCCCGGCUCAACUGGGGAGGGUCACGCGAUACUGAUCGACUCGAAGGCAGGAGAGGGUAGUGGAAUUCCCGGUGUAGUGGUGAAAUGCGUAGAUAUCGGGAGGAACACCCGUAGCGAAGGCGGCACUCUGGGCCGGUACUGACGCUCAUGCACGAAAGCGUGGGGAGCAAACAGG